rnacentral:rRNA from 1 species
GGGGAAUCUUGCGCAAUGGGCGAAAGCCUGACGCAGCGACGCCGCGUGAGUGAUGAAGGCCCUCGGGUUGUAAAGCUCUGUGGAGAGAGACGAAUAAGGGUUGGCUAAUAUCCAACUCGAUGACGGUAUCUUUUUAGCAAGCACCGGCUAACUCUGUGCCAGCAGCCGCGGUAAGACAGAGGGUGCAAACGUUGUUCGGAAUUACUGGGCGUAAAGCGCGUGUAGGCUGCGAUGCAAGUCGGAUGUGAAAGCCCUGGGCUCAACCUAGGAAGUGCAUUCGAAACUGCGUUGCUUGAGUUCUGGAGAGGAAGGCGGAAUUCUCGGUGUAGAGGUGAAAUUCGUAGAUAUCGAGAGGAACACCGGUGGCGAAGGCGGCCUUCUGGACAGCAACUGACGCUGAGACGCGAAAGCGUGGGGAGCAAAC